UUAGUGGCGCACGGGUGCGUAACGCGUGGGAAUCUGCCCCUCGGUUCGGAAUAACAGUUAGAAAUGACUGCUAAUACCGGAUGAUGACGAAAGUCCAAAGAUUUAUCGCCGAGGGAUGAGCCCGCGUAGGAUUAGCUAGUUGGUGAGGUAAAGGCUCACCAAGGCGACGAUCCUUAGCUGGUCUGAGAGGAUGAUCAGCCACACUGGGACUGAGACACGGCCCAGACUCCUACGGGAGGCAGCAGUGGGGAAUAUUGGACAAUGGGCGAAAGCCUGAUCCAGCAAUGCCGCGUGAGUGAUGAAGGCCUUAGGGUCGUAAAGCUCUUUUACCCGGGAUGAUAAUGACAGUACCGGGAGAAUAAGCUCCGGCUAACUCCGUGCCAGCAGCCGCGGUAAUACGGAGGGAGCUAGCGUUGUUCGGAAUUACUGGGCGUAAAGCGUACGUAGGCGGUUAUUCAAGUCAGGGGUGAAAGCCCGGGGCUCAACCCCGGA
rnacentral:rRNA from 1 species